AGUUACAGCCACACCACCAUGACCUCACCUGAUCUUGUCUGGUCCAGAAAGCUAAGCAAGGUUUGGUCCGGUUAGUACUUGGUUGGGAGAGCACCGAAUGGUGGAAGGUAAAAC
rnacentral:rRNA from 1 species